UACGAAGGGGACUAGCGUUGUUCGGAUUUACUGGGCGUAAAGCGCGCGUAGGCGGAUCGCUAAGUCAGGGGUGAAAUCCCAAGGCUCAACCUUGGAACUGCCUUUGAUACUGACGAUCUGGAGAUCGGGAGAGGUGAGUGGAAUUCCGAGUGUAGAGGUGAAAUUCGUAGAUAUUCGCAAGAACACCAGUGGCGAAGGCGGCUCACUGGCCCGAUACUGACGCUGAGGCACGAAAGCGUGGGAGCAAACAGGG
rnacentral:rRNA from 1 species